rnacentral:lncRNA from 1 species
CGCUCAGCAAUCGGUCCUCCCCUACAAAUUAAUUAACCCAAAGUACUUGUUUAAUUAGUGUGAGGGGUAGGGAAUUGAGUAGCGAACAAUAUCUCUCACCCAGUUUAGAAUUAUGUUCACCAAGGACUUUUCUUUUCUCUUCCUGAAAGGGACGGCGAGCUCUCCUGGUGCAUCUGGAAGCAGCAGACCCCUCGUGGCUGGAGACGUAUUUUCAGGAUGCCAGGAACUUCCAGAGCACUGUGCCAACCCCGAAGGACCUGUGCGCAUUUGGAGACACGAGAUGAGAGGAGGGGUGACGAUCCCAGUUCAACCAGAGCCCACUGGGCCUGCUCCUCCUCACCAAGUGUGUGUGCAACAAGCAUGCGUGUGUUUGCGUGCAUGUGUUGGAUGUGUUUUUGGGUGCACGUGUGUGCCAGUGUGCGUGUGUGUAUGCAUGUGCUUGCAUGAGUGUGUGCACAUAUGUGCAAGAGCUGACCUUGGACUUUUCUCAGCCACAGCCAUAGGGGCAGAAGAGCUUGACUUUUCUGAAUUCCCCUGGUUUCAGGAAUGAAAUGUUGGCCACCCUGUCUCUUCAUGGCACUGCGCGAGACACUAGUAUGCAGGAGGGAAGGUGAGCGUCAAAGUCAGAGCCUGACUUUUCAGCUUCAGACCCUGCCACCAGGGAGUUUAGGAGAAUGUGGGACAGAAGGGCCUGAGUUACUGCAAGUGGAGGCAAGCUUGGAGCGGUGCCGGACACAGGCCACCGAGAUGACCUUUUGAAAUGUGGCCCAAUUGGUGACUAAAGAUGCCUAAUUAUGAAGAUGAACAUUGUGGCGUAUUGCUGGGUGAAGUGGAAAAGUGGGCCAGGUAGGGUUUUCUAAACGGCUAAUUAUACAAGCUUCUGAAUGGAAGGGACACGUGGGUUUAUCCUUUGAACUUCACCAAUGUCAAAGAACUGUGUCAAAGC